rnacentral:rRNA from 1 species
GAUGAACGCUAGCUACAGGCUUAACACAUGCAAGUCGAGGGGAAACGAUAUUGGAAGCUUGCUUCCGAUAGGCGUCGACCGGCGCACGGGUGAGUAACGCGUAUCCAACCUGCCCACCACUUGGGGAUAACCUUGCGAAAGUAAGACUAAUACCCAAUGAUAUCUCUAGAAGACAUCUGAAAGAGAUUAAAGAUUUAUCGGUGAUGGAUGGGGAUGCGUCUGAUUAGCUUGUUGGCGGGGUAACGGCCCACCAAGGCGACGAUCAGUAGGGGUUCUGCGAGGAAGGUCCCCCACAUUGGAACUGAGACACGGUCCAAACUCCUACGGGAGGCAGCAGUGAGGAAUAUUGGGCAAUGGGCGAGAGCCUGAACCAGCCAAGUAGCGUGCAGGAUGACGGCCCUAUGGGUUGUAAACUGCUUUUAUAAGGGAAUAAAGUGAGAGUCGUGACUCUUUUUGCAUGUACCUUAUGAAUAAGGACCGGCUAAUUCCGUGCCAGCAGCCGCCGUAAGAC